rnacentral:rRNA from 1 species
GACGGGCCCGCACAAGCAGCGGAGCGUGUGGUUUAAUUCGAUGUUACACGAAGAACCUUACCAGGGUUUGACAUGCAAGUGGUAGGAAGCCGAAAGGUGACCGACCCUUCGGGGAGCUUGCACAGGUGCUGCAUGGCUGUCGUCAGCUCGUGUCGUGAGAUGUUGGGUUAAGUCCCGCAACGAGCGCAACCCUUGUCAUUAGUUGCUACGAAAGGGCACUCUAAUGAGACUGCCGGUGACAAACCGGAGGAAGGUGGGGAUGACGUCAAGUCCUCAUGGCCCUUAUAGGUGGGGCUACACACGUCAUACAAUGGCUGGUACAAAGGGUUGCCAACCCGCGAGGGGGAGCCAAUCCCAUAAAGCCAGUCGUAGUCCGGAUCGCAGUCUGCAACUCGACUGCGUGAAGUCGGAAUCGCUAGUAAUCGUGGAUCAGCAUGUCACGGUGAAUACGUUCCCGGGUCUU